CCUACGGGUGGCAGCAGUCGAGAAUCAUUCACAAUGGGGGAAACCCUGAUGGUGCGACGCCGCGUGAGGGAAUGAAGGUCUUCGGAUUGUAAACCCCUGUCAUGUGGGAGCAAAUUAAAAAGAUAGUACCACAAGAGGAAGAGCCGGAUAACUCUGUGCCAGCAGCCGCGGGAAUACAGCGGUCUCAAGCGUUGGUCGGAGUCACUGGGCGUAAAGCGUGCGUAGGCUGUUUCGUAAGUCGAGUGUGAAAGGCGCGGGCUCAACCCGCGGACGGCACAUGAUACUGCGAGACUAGAGUAAUGGAGGGGGAACCGGAAUUCGCGGUGUAGCAGUGAAAUGCGUAGAUAUCGAGAAGAACACUCGUGGCGAAGGCGGGUUCCUGGACAUUAACUGACGCUGAGGCACGAAGGCCAGGGGAGCGAAAGGGAUUAGAUACCCCAGUAGUC
rnacentral:rRNA from 1 species